rnacentral:lncRNA from 1 species
UAGAGACAGGGUUUUGCAGCGUUGGCUGGGCUGGUCUCGAUCUCCUGACCCCAAAUGUUUCUCCCGCCUCAGGUUCUCAAAGUGCUGGGAUUACAGACAUGAGCCACCAUGCCCGGUCAGACUCUGGAUAUUAGGCUGUGAGUAUUUUUAGUUAUUUUAAUUUUUAUUUAUUUAUUUAGAGACAAGAUCUUGUUCCAUUGUUCAAACUGGAGUGUAGUGGCAUGAUCUUAUCUCACCGCAGCCUUUAAUUUUAAAGAUAGGGUCUCACUUUGUCACCCAGGAACCUCGAACUCCUGGGCUCAAGCAAUCUUCCCACCUCAGCCUCCCAAGUAGCUUGGAUGACAGGUAUGUGCCACCAUGCCUGGCUUUUGUUGUUUUUGUUAGAGAAGUGGUUUUACCAUGUUGCCCAGCCAGGCUGGCCUCAAGUGAUUCUCUUGCCUCAGUCUCCCAAAGUGCCUGGGAUUACAGGCAUGAGCCACUGGGCCUGGCCUAUUUUUAGUUUUGUAUUGGGCACAAUUGUUUAAAGUAUUCAAGGAAUCAGUUGCCAUGACAGUUUGGCUCUGUGUCCCAAAGCGUGCUCUGAGGCUCUGACACCAGAGUUCCACGGUCAAAGGCCCCUGAGAAGUGCUAUGUUAAGGGAACAGCUUCCUCGCCUAGAGGGGUCUACUUUAAUAUGCCAAGGAGCAUGGGAAUCUUGAACAGGAGACUGGAAUCCACAGUCUGCCUCCAUUCAACUGAUCUUGGUUUUCCAGAGCAAAGCCUGGGAUCAGCAUUCCAAGGAACACACUUUGGGAACAUAGUCGGUGGAAGGCUCUCAUAACUAAAAGGUCUCUCUGUUUCUGUAUUAGUUCCUUACCUACUGUGGAGUACAAAUUAUCCCAAACUUAGUGGCUUAAAAUAGGCAUUUUAGUAUCUCAGCUUCUGUGGGUCAGGAAUUCAGAUGUGGCUUAGCUGGCUGGUCUGUCUUAAGGUUGCCAUCAAGAUGUCAGCUGGGGCUGUGGUCAUCUGAAGCCUUGACUGAGGAUAGAGGAUCUGUUUCCUAAAUGGCUCACUGACAUGGCUGACAAAGAGGCUUCAGCUCCAUGCCAUGCAGACUUCAGCAGGCUGCUUGAGUUUCCCCACAAUAUGGCGGCUGGCUUCUCAGAGUGAGUGAUGCAAGAGAGUGAGACUGAAGCUGCAGUACCUUUUAUGACCUAGCCUUGAACAGUACAUGCAGUCAUUUCCUCAGUAUCCUAUUGGUUAUGCAGGCCAGCCUGAUUGAUUGUGGAAAUGUGUGAAUGCCAGGAGGUGCGAAUUGUUUGGAGACCAUGUUGGAGGCCAACUGCCUUAGUAACCAUCACUUUGGUACCAGGACAUGUAACUUGCCUCAUUUGCACAGUUGCUUUUUCUUACCAUUUUGUAGACAUGAGUAACAUUGGGAAGUGAACCUGUUAACCUGUGAUAUGAAGAGAAGGGGAAGAGACCAAAAAUUUAUCAGCCACACCAAGCCCUGGAAAACAGCGGUACUAAUAACCCAGCCUCCCUUCCUGGGUGCUCACUCUGUACCAGGUACCUCAUGGGCCUCAGGGUGCUAUGCAACCCCUGUCCCCAUGAGCAGGUUCCACUGAUAUUUUCAAGUCAGGCCACUCAUGCCUAUGAAAUGCAUGAAAUGAGAUUUUUUUGUGAUGUUGGCUAUGGCAACACACGUGGCUCUGCCUGAUGGAAGCUGAGACAAAAUUGGUAACCUGAGCGAACCCGUGUGGAGAAGAUUUGAGCAGAGAGUAAGCUUAGGAUGGAUAAAUGCCCACGAUAAACAAAUAAUAAAUAGAUGAGAUGAAAUAUUUAUUUCAUGUACAGGAUGAGGAUUAAAUACGUUAACAAGAUGAGGAGUCAGGGUGAGCCUGGGGAAUCCCUGGUUUCACUGGAGCCUCCUGGCUGGGAGAAGUGUCACGUCUCCAGGCUGGGGCAGCGGCAGGGCUCCCUGGUUGGGAGGUCUAGUGGUGACACGUGGAACACCUGGUGGUGAGCCCCAGAAUGCCUGUGUCCCAGGCCGACCCAUACUGGUCAUGAGCUGUGUGAUCCAGGCAAGUGACUUCACGGACCUCAGUUUCCCAUCUGCAAAAUGGGAUGAUAACAGCAAACUUCACCACUUGUGAUGAGGAUUCGGAGAGUGAAUCUUUGGCCCAGCACAAGGCCUGUAAGGUGUUUCACAUGGCAGAGUUGGUGGCGGGUCACCAAGGUGGUGGUGUCCCAGGUUGAAGGAACCUUUCUAGAAAUUCCAUUGCCUGGAAGGAUCCAGUGACACACAGUGGACCCUGAGCCACAAAACAGACUGUGGUAACUGCUGGGGCCUCCCGCAGGGUGAUCCCCGAGGAGGCUGGGAGGAGCUCAGCCCUUUCUUCUGCUGGGGGCAUGUGCAGGCAUGGAGACUGCCCGGCCCCUUCCUGUCCUGUUGGGGCAUGAUUUUCAACAGAGGGAGGAUUCUGGGCAUGUUUUCCUUUGGAAGUCUCACCAGGCUGAGCAGGACUUAGAGGAACUCCGGCUACGUUUGCUGUCCCAACAAAUAGACCAGGGUUCCCUAAGUGUCGCUUCCUCCAAGAAGCCCUCCCUGAUGAGUUGAGCCACUUUAGUUUGUGCUCAGGCUCACCCUGCACGUCUUGGUUGCUCUCAUCACUGUAAUGAUCUAAAACACACGUCUGCUCAUGAGACCCGCAUCCCACCCCCGAUGCUGGGGCCGCUCUUGGAUUUUCAUGCCUGCUGCCAGCACCCAGGGGGAGCUCCGGAAAUGUCUGCUGGGGGCUCGGAAUACCCACCUUUCUGGUAAUGCAGCCCAGCGGGUCCCAGCCUCGUUUUCCAGCCCUCACUCAAAAUGGAGUCGCUCUGGUUCGAACGCCUCUGACAAGUGUGUACCUACGUGUCAGGCCCAUCCUUCCUGCAGGCCUUUGUCUUGGUGUCACCCUGCCUGAGCUGGCCCCAACCACAGUAGCAACAGUGAUGCUGAUGUGUGACUGCUGCCAGGAGCCUGCUCACAUGACCGUGUGGAGAAAGUUCUUUCCCUGAGGACCAUCUGGAGUGGACGCGUGCACUACCCCUCUCUGAAUACACCCUCCCCACGAGGCCCUCUGGAGCAUCCUGUAGAGCCAGCCCCUACCCAGAGACCCUGAGCCCAGAGAAUGCGCUGGGUGGUGAGCCUGGGGACGAAUGCAGAGCCCUAGGUCUCCUCUCCAGAAAGACCGGAUUUUGCCAUGUUGGCCAGGCUGGUCUUGAACUCCUGACCUCAAGUGAUCCACCUGCCUCGGCCUCCCAAAGUGCAGGGAUUACAGGUGUGAGCCACUGCACCCGGCCUCAGGCAGGUAUUUUUACCAGCCGAAUACUCUUGCACUGUGCACUCUUCGUGUUCAUCAUCAGUCCCCCGGAUGGGUGUUUAAGGCAUUUCCAAAGCUCUGUUAUUAAAAACACGAUGCAAUGAGUUUCUUUCAGCAUUUCCCCUUGUUGCCGUGUGAAUGCGUCCGUGGUAUAACUUCCUAAAAGUGGAAUCGCUUGGUCAAAGGGUGGGUGCAUUUAGCAACCUGAUGGCUUUCCAGGAGACAAGUGCUGCCUCCCGGCCACGAGCUUUUAAGAAGAACUGUUGAUGGAACCCGAGCUGGAGUCCCAGGGACCGGGGCGAGUUCUCCAUCCCAGGGGAUUUUCAGAUGGGACACUGGGGAGAAGCUGCCCUGCCCAUCUGAACUCUAUGAUCCCAGUACUAACACUGGUAGCUGUGCCAUCCCCAGUAUAGAGACAGCACCGUGCUCUUGGGAGGGUGAGUCAUUGGCCCCCG